rnacentral:rRNA from 1 species
UACGUAGGGAGCAAGCGUUGUCCGGAAUCAUUGGGCGUAAAGCGCGCGUAGGUGGCCUCAUAAGUCCGCUGUGAAAGUCAAAGGCUCAACCUUUGAAAGCCGGUGGAUACUGUGAGGCUAGAGUACGGAAGAGGCGAGUGGAAUUCCUGGUGUAGCGGUGGAAUGCGCAGAUAUCUGGAGGAACAUCAGUGGCGAAAGCGGCUUCCUGGACCAGUACCGACGUUCAGGCACGAAAGCGUGGGGAGCAAACAGG